rnacentral:rRNA from 1 species
UUUCAUUGGAGAGUUUGAUCCUGGCUCAGGACGAACGCUGGCGGCGUGCUUAACACAUGCAAGUCGAACGGAAAGGC